rnacentral:rRNA from 1 species
AACGUAGGUUCCGAGCGUUAUCCGGAUUUACUGGGCGUAAAGCGUGUUCAGGCGGCUCAGCAAGUCGGGCAUGAAAUCUCUCGGCUCAACCGGGAGGGGCUGUCCGAAACUGCUGGGCUUGAGGGCAGUAGAGGGUGGUGGAAUUCCGGGUGUAGUGGUGAAAUGCGUAGAUAUCCGGAGGAACACCAGUGGCGAAAGCGGCCACCUGGACUGUACCUGACGCUCAAACACGAAAGCUAGGGGAGCGAACGGG